CCCGGGCCUUGUUCUCCAGGCUGCGGGAUGGAUUGGUUGAGCUUUCGUGGUCCCGCCCUGGGACCGGAAGCCCUCUCGGACAACGAGGACACCGAGGACUUCCGGGUUUCGCCGGUGCUUCUCGAUUUCCUCAUCUGUAAGAUGGCGGUAAGCCCUGUACCUAUGAGGAUGGACAUGAGCGUCUAUAGCACACCGACUUACUCCACGUGUGCUGCUUUCUGCUGUUAGGAGGAGUGUGUAGUUUGCAGCCAUCACCUCAGCUGUGAGUCCCUCUGUGGAGUGAUCACCCAGGAAUGCUUGGCAGUGGUUGCUGGUGUUCCUGACACAGGGGAACCUUCUUGAACCAUCUUGUGACACCGAGGUGCCUUAAUCUGAUUUUCUGAAAAGUAAGUGAUUUGUAAAAUAUUUAAACUUUUCAAAAUGAAUUUUUAUUGAAGUAUCAUUGCUUUAUAAUGUUGUGUUAGUUUCUGCUGUACAGCAGAGUCAAUCAGUUAUACGUGUACAUAUUUGGCAUCACUGACUCAAUGGAUAUGAGUUUGAGCAAGCUCCGGGUGAUGGUGAAGGACAG
rnacentral:lncRNA from 1 species